rnacentral:rRNA from 1 species
UACGUAGGGCGCAAGCGUUGUCCGGAAUUAUUGGGCGUAAAGAGCUCGUAGGCGGCUGAUCGCGUCGGAUGUGAAAGCUCGGGGCUCAACCCUGAGAGGCCAUUCGAUACGGAUCGGCUAGAGGUAGGUAGGGGAAAGUGGAAUUCCUGGUGUAGCGGUGAAAUGCGUAGAGAUCAGGAAGAACACCGGUGGCGAAAGCGCUCUGCUAGGCCGCAACUGACACUCAUGGACGAAAGCUAGGGGAGCGAAUGGG